GGGAGAAUGGUCUAGAGGUAUGAUUCUCGCUUAGGGUGUGAGAGGUCCCAUGUUCUAUCCCGGUUCUCCCC
rnacentral:tRNA from 1 species